GACGUAGGGCGCGAGCGUUGUCCGGAUUUAUUGGGCGUAAAGAGCGUGUAGGCGGCCAGAUAGGUCUGCUGUGAAAACUCGAGGCUCAACCUCGAGAUGUCGGCGGAAACCAUUUGGCUAGAGUCCGGAAGAGGAAAGUGGAAUUCCUGGUGUAGCGGUGAAAUGCGCAGAUAUCAGGAAGAACACCCGUGGCGAAGGCGGCUUUCUGGGACGGUACUGACGCUGAGACGCGAAAGCGUGGGGAGCGAACAGG
rnacentral:rRNA from 1 species